rnacentral:rRNA from 1 species
CUACGGGGUGCAGCAGCUAGGAAUAAUAUACAAUGCGCGAAAGCGUGAUAGUUUGAAUCAGAGUGCGUUUCAAUGAAAUGCUUUUGCCAAGUCUAAAAAGCUUGGCGAAUAAGGACUGGGUAAGACGAGUGCCAGCCGCCGCGGUAAUACUCGCGGUCCAAGUCGCAGCCAUUUUUAUUGGGUCUAAAACAUCCGUAGCUUGCUUUUUAAGUUCCUUGUGAAAUCUUAUAUCUCAAAUAUAAGGCGGGCAAGGAGUACUGGGAAGCUAGAGACUGGGAGACGUAAAGAGUACGUUUAAGGUAGCGGUAAAAUGUGUUAAUCUUAAGCGGACUAACAAUAGCGAAGGCACUUUACGAGAACAGUUCUGACAGUAAGGGAUGAAGGCCAGGGGCGCAAAACGGAUUAGAUACCCGUGUAGUCCUGGCAGUAAACACUGCUCACUAAACAUCGGGACCUCUUCGAGAGGUUUCGGUGCUGCAGCGAAGGCGAAGAGUGAGCUACCUGGGAAGUAUAGUCGCAAGGCUGAAACU